ensembl:snoRNA Gm22520 small nucleolar RNA SNORA44
CAGGAUAUUUCCAAGGAUAUAGCUUGUUGUGGCUAUGGUAUCCGACUUCAUGCCAGGGUAAAUGGAAAGACUUUAACAGCAGAGGUCAACACAGUGCCUGCAGCUGCCAAUUGUUUUUCCUAUAUGU